rnacentral:lncRNA from 1 species
CUAGGUCAUGUGUUUGUGCAAGCACGCAUGAGCGUGUGUCUAUGUGUUUGUUGUGCACGUGAGGGUGUGUAUCACCACUAGAUCAUAGAAGAUUUGUUCUAGUUUUAGGUUCAAAUGCCACCAACUACUAUUCAAAAGUGUCAUACACCAUCUCAAUGGCAAAGGUUUCUUUACCACCUCAUCUUAUUUGUUACAAGCUAGUAAUCAAGCAUACCAGAUCCACAUUGCAGCUGCUAUGAGUAUAAAGAAGCCACAAGUUCAACUCAUACUAUUGUACCUAUUUGUUUUUGCCAUGUCAC